rnacentral:rRNA from 1 species
AUUGAACGCUGGCGGCAUGCUUUACACAUGCAAGUCGAACGGUAACAGGCCGCAAGGUGCUGACGAGUGGCGAACGGGUGAGUAAUGCAUCGGAACGUGCCCAGUCGUGGGGGAUAACGCAGCGAAAGCUGCGCUAAUACCGCAUACGAUCUAUGGAUGAAAGCGGGGGACCGUAAGGCCUCGCGCGAUUGGAGCGGCCGAUGUCAGAUUAGGUAGUUGGUGGGGUAAAGGCUCACCAAGCCGACGAUCUGUAGCUGGUCUGAGAGGACGACCAGCCACACUGGGACUGAGACACGGCCCAGACUCCUACGGGAGGCAGCAGUGGGGAAUUUUGGACAAUGGGCGCAAGCCUGAUCCAGCAAUGCUGCGUGCAGGAAGAAGGCCUUCGGGUCGUAAACUGCUUUUGUACGGAACGAAACGGUCCUGGUUAAUACCUGGGGCUAAUGACGGUACCGUAAGAAUAAGCACCGGCUAACUACGUGCCAGCCGCCGCCGUAAAAC